AUUGGACAUCAUCACUGAAAUGUUCUUCCUAAAAUGUCCUUUCCAGAAGAGAGAAUAAAUGAAAACACAAAGUUGUAUCCUUUUUUCUAUAAAGUCAUCACGCUUCAGAGCCUACUCAACAGCAAUAGGCUUCUAAGAGAUUAUGUUGGCGGAAGGGGGGGAUUUUGUCAGCUCUUUCCAUAAAGUUCAAGCGAUUUGAUAACUCUCCUUUUUGAAGCUUCUGUUAUUCCAGUUUCUCUCUCUCUCUCUCUCUCUCCCCCCCCCCGGUGGUACAUCCAAAUUAACUUGUGGAUCAGUCCUUUUUGGAUAUGGGGUAUAACUUUAUUUCUCCUGCUAAACUAGAGAAAGCUUGUGUAAAUAAUCUGCUGCUGCUGGGCUGUUUUAACAUUAAGGCAAAGUAUGGUACAGCUAUGGUUCCCAAACUUUUCCCUCCCACACACACCACUUGAAAAUUGCUGAGGGUCUUGGCAGGCCACUUAAUGUUUUUUCUGGCUGUUGUAGGAAUUGUACUAUGCUGUGCUAGUUACUGUAUGGUUUUUAAUUGUAUUUUUACAGAUACGCUGUGGACCACCUGAAUGACACUUGUGGACCACUGGUAGUCCGCAGACCACCGUUCGAUAGCCCCUGUUAUAAUAGGGUUGCUGGUUGCCCUUUUUCUUCACUUCUUCAGCAUUUGCUUUCACAGAAUGGCUGAUAAUAUCGGUCUCUAAAAUGUGUAUAUGUGCAGGAAAAUGCAAAGCUGUGCAAUGCCAAAAAUUAUAAUUAGAAAGAAGUGACAGAUCUGUGGCUGCAGCUUCUGAGUUGUUAAAACGUGUGAAAGCUCUUGUUUUCUUUCCGUGGGAAAUGGCUUCCAUCAGUACUUGCCUUGCGAUGAGUUCUAUCAGUGGGUGAGAAGAUGUUUGGAGACACCUGAUUUAUAAAAUGCAGUAAAAACACAAAAGCAGUAUUUAAAUCUAUACCAUUUUUGACAACACUGUGUACUUAGGCAACGUAGCAUACUCCAGGCCUUUGCUUUUCCUCCAUUUUUGUCAUGUUAAUUUUAUCUUUUCAUUUUGCAUCCUUGUAUAUAAUUUUUUAGUGUCUUUCACAAAUUUCUCAGUGUCAGCAGAUAGUUUGAAAACUUGGGCCAUAUAGCUUUUGGUUCACUCCUUUUGAGGUAGAGGAAAGAAUACUCAGCCUAGUUAUCUACCAGGUAGGCCACCAUUGACCAACCAGUGCCCUCCAGCUAUUUUGGACUACAACUCCCAUCAGCCCCAGACAGCCCAGCUUCAAAUUAGAGAAGGCAUCUAAUUUGAUCCCUUGGCCUGCAGAUGGCAGCACUAGCUUAGUAAUUUGCUCAGUAACCUCUAGUUUGAUGCAGUAACCUAACAGCAGAAAUGUUUUAGGUAGGAUAAAAAUCACACCACUCAGUGUAACACUUUGCAAUAUGAAAGAAAGAACCCAGAGAAAGAUUAAAACAAAAGUUAAUGUUGGCUUCUCUGACCAGUACUGUGCAAACAGGCUGAGUAGUAAUGGAACUACAAGAGAAUCCAGAAUUCUCCCAGGCUUUCCAUGAACGUGUAUAUAUUAAAAAGGCAUUUGCAAACGCCUCGUUCUACCCAAGUUCCUUAUGCUAUGAAUUUGACUAAUGUAGGACCCUUCUCUGUGACAACUUGUUUAUAGAUCAUGGGAGAAACAGGUGUAAUAUUGGUGCAGUGGCUGAGUCUAUAGUGUAUACUUUCAUACUGCUCAUAAUAAAUUUAUUUUUGUUGUCCGCCUCUCACCUAGAAUGCAGGUCUCAAGGUUUGAUUACAUAAAUUUAAAAAUACAAAUCAUACAUAAACCAUACAGAAAUUUAAAAAUAUAAAAACAUGCAAAGAACCAUACAUAAACAAAUCCAUAAAAUUGAAAUCAGUUUCUUAACCACCAGAGGGAAGCUUCAUUUCAUACAUCAUAAUACAGUGGAUACAUGCUUGAAGAAAUAUUUUGGUGAAAGCCUAUUGUGUUACCCAUUUUACCAGGUCCAGUGUGGUUGGUUGCCAGAAAUGAUUUUUUUUUCACUGUCUGCCAAAGAUAUAUAGAUGAAGUCCAUAGGCACCUGGUACUUGGCUGCUGGAUUUCUCAGCCACCACCCUUGUGAGUCCCUGCCACAAAUAUUCCACUUACCUAUCGCAACGUUGUUCAGACAACCCAAUAAGCCAGUCUUGUCCCCUGUACCUUUCCCAAGCGCCUGCUGCUUCCAAUGAUCAUCACUCAUCCAAGUUCCUGCCACCAUCUUUCUUGAUAUUGCCACAUAUAGUCAUGCGCCCAUGAACUUUUGCCAUGCUCACAUGUACGUACAUGUAGUAAUAUUUACACAACUUGGACAUGCAGAGCUUUCUUACGGGAUCCAGCAACUAAGUGGGAUAGUAAUGGACCUACACCCCUUCCCCAGAAGCAACAAACAAAGGGUGCAAGGGCACUGAUUAUGGGAGAGAAAUGAAAGAGGUGCCUGUGUCAGCUGACUUGCUGGAAGGACCAGGCAGGACUUAUCUGGCCUUUGAAUCCAACCAUAGCAUAGUGGUUCAUGUCAUACUAGGACUGUUUCCAUUAAGUUUGCUAGUGAUGUCAGGCCAGUAAUUAUCUCCUUGAUAGCCUAACCUAUCUCACAGUGUUGUGAGUACCAAAUGGGAGAGGGGAGAACUAUCUAGGCCCCCUCACGCUUCUUGUGGAAAAGACAGGAUAUAAAUGUAAUAAAUAAGCUAUUGAGAAUCAGGAAUUGGAUGGACAGAUGGAUGGGUGGGUAAACUUAACCAGAGCUAUCCAGGAAAGCAAUUAAAAUAUACAGUAAAUAUAUGCUCACUUUCCUUCAUAAAUUAAUGUUUUCUACUUGUAGAGACUUCAGGUCACAGAUGAAGAGAAAACAGGGUGGAAGAACAGCUACCUACCAUCUUGCUGCUUUGGGGGCUGAGACCGAGCCAGUUUGAAGAAGGCAAAGUACAGUCUCUUGCAUGAUCUUGGAAUGUAUGUGAGAAAGUCAUUGUCUGAAAGCAACCUCUGUACCCAUAUUUCCCAGUGCUAGAAGCCUUCACACUGAAACAGUCUUUUAAGUGCAAUCGGACCCUUCACUUCAGAAAAAGGACUGAGAAGACCCGAGUAAGAAGAUUCUCUACCCUUUUCUGUCUUCCUUGUGGGCUGCUAUAAACUCACUUCGUCAGCCAGCCCAAUUCCAGUGAAUAUAACUGACGGAGAAAAAGCACACAUGAUUUGGUCUACCUUCAUAGGCAGCAGCUUGGGAACAACAACAAUUGCAGCCAUGCUGGCCAGUAUGUGAAUUCUCUUUUACCACUCUUGGGCAAGAAAUAAACAACAACAUUUUGUCAAAGACACACCAUGAAGGAAAUCUUGGCCGGAGUUUGUCUGACUUCACAAGCCCGAAGGCUUGGAGAAAAUAUGGUUCUCAAAGUUCACACUACCACUUGUGGUACAGCUGUCCAGUGGACUCAGGUGCACAAAAUUAACAAAACAAUACAAAGAAUUUGUCUCCCAAUCACAAGGUUAUUCUACUCGACAUGCUUCAUGCUAUACUGAGAAGGAUGUCUUUCUUAAAGACCUAAUAAAGUUUUUGUUAGUGGCUGCAAUACUGGAAUCAGCAGGACUCUCCUUGUUCUUCAAUAGGAUUUGGGGCUGUUGUCUUAGAAAAAGUAUCUGGAUCUUGCGAUAAAUGAUUUCUCUAAGUAAGAUGCCCUUGAAACAUAAUGGCUUCCAUUUAUUGCAUAUAAUAAGCACAAAUUACUAAGGUUAUCAUACUUUGGACACAUAGUGAGAAGACAUGAUUCACUAGAAAAGACCAUAAUGCUGGGAAAAACAGAAGGGAGUAGAAAAAGAGGAAGGCCAAACAAGAGAUGGAUUGAUUCCAUAAAGGAAGCCACAGACCUGAACUUACAAGAUCUGAACAGUACAAACAUACAUUUCUCAUCACAAAUAAUUUUGGACUGGACUUGUUACUACAUAUAUGUUACUACAUAUAGUGCAUUCCUCUUCUUAUUUGGACAAUUUUAGUAAUUGUAUUUUGCUCAAACAUCUUCAAGCCUACUUACUUGUAAUUUGUUGUGCCAUUCUAUUAUUCUUUGUUCCUGAAAAAUCCUUCAAUAAACUCACUCACUCUGGG